AUUGAACGCUGGCGGCACGCCUAACACAUGCAAGUCGAGCGGUAACGGUCCUAGUAGCAAUACUAGGAGCUGACGAGCGGCGGACGGGUGAGUAAUACGUAGGAACCUGCCCUUAAGCGGGGGACAACCAAGGGAAACUUUGGCUAAUACCGCAUACACUCGAGAGAGGAAAGGUGCCCGUAAGGGUAUCACUUGAGGAGGGGCCUGCGUCCGAUUAGCUAGUUGGUGAGGUAAGAGCUCACCAAGGCGAUGAUCGGUAACUGGUCUGAGAGGACGGCCAGUCACACUGGGACUGAGACACGGCCCAGACUCCUACGGGAGGCAGCAGUGGGGAAUAUUGGACAAUGGGGGCAACCCUGAUCCAGCGAUGCCGCGUGAGUGAAGAAGGCCUUCGGGUCGUAAAGCUCUUUAGGUUGGGAAGAAGUUUGCUACAUAAAUAAUGUAGUAGAUUGACGGUACCGACAGAAUAAGCACCGGCAAACUCUGUGCCAGCAGCCGCAGUAAUAC
rnacentral:rRNA from 1 species